rnacentral:rRNA from 1 species
UACGGGGGGGGCAAGCGUUGUUCGGAAUUACUGGGCGUAAAGGGCUCGUAGGCGGCCAACUAAGUCAGACGUGAAAUCCCUCGGCUUAACCGGGGAACUGCGUCUGAUACUGGAUGGCUUGAGUUUGGGAGAGGGAUGCGGAAUUCCAGGUGUAGCGGUGAAAUGCGUAGAUAUCUGGAGGAACACCGGUGGCGAAGGCGGCAUCCUGGACCAACACUGACGCUGAUGAGCGAAAGCCAGGGGAGCAAAUGGG